AUGGGCGGGGACGAAAAAAAAGGUAAACAGGAAAACUGCCCAAACCUGCUUUGGGAGUUGAGGAGAAACUGGAUUGUCAGAGCGGGAAGAUAAAAUGAAGUUCUGAUUGGAAAUCACCCCAAAGGGCUUUGAAAGCACACUGAAACUGUGAGCCACAGGUGCUUCAGGGACUUGCAGCUCCACAAAACGGCUAUUUUAUGAGUCAUGCUCUGACGCAGACACACAUUAGUUGCCCAAGGACACUUUGACAUAUUAAAUCCCAGAGCUUCAAAAUGGAAGAUAACCACUCUACAGUUGGGCCAGAGCCACCUCCAAAAUUAUUAGGAGCUACAUGCCAGACCUGUUAAGAGGAGAACAGGAUACAUUUCUUUUCUGAUUUACUGUGCUGGUUUUUAAUGUCUCUAAUGUUUUCUUCCACACUAUCAGCAUAAAUGUAUUUAAUGUAUUUUACUGGUAUGUCAUGUGAUAGACAGACACCACAAAAGGAUGCAUAAGAGUAAGGAGAAAGAGGAAGAAAAGUAUACACGAUCUUCAUAAUUUUUAACGUGCUUGCUUCGCCUUGUCAUGAAAUUGUGCAAAUGAGCUUUUUAUGACGCAGCUAUUCGGAGGAACUGUGAGUUUUUACAACCUCUUUGCGUGAAUGACAAAGGGCGUGGAGGUUUGAAAUAUUCCUAUUUAUGUAAGAGUGUCUAAAAGGCAAUACUGUUUAUUUAAAUUGACGUUGCCAAUGCUUUGAAUCUUAAGAAAUUAUCAAAUAUGCUUAAAACUUCAACUAAAUUCUUCAUUUAAGUUAGAUUUGUCUUUUAUUUAGCAAUUACUUGCUAACACAUUAAUCUUAGAUAU